rnacentral:rRNA from 1 species
AUUGAACGCUGGCGGAAUGCUUUACACAUGCAAGUCGAACGGCAGCACGGACUUCGGUCUGGUGGCGAGUGGCGAACGGGUGAGUAACGCGUAGGAAUAUGCCUUAAAGAGGGGGAUAACUUGGGGAAACUCAAGCUAAUACCGCGUAAUCUCUGAGGAGAAAAGCUGGGGACCUUCGGGCCUGGCACUUUAAGAAUAGCCUGCGUACGAUUAGCUAGUUGGUGGGGUAAGGGCCUACCAAGGCGACGAUCGUUAGCUGGUCUGAGAGGAUGGCCAGCCACACUGGGACUGAGACACGGCCCAGACUCCUACGGGAGGCAGCAGUGGGGAAUAUUGGACAAUGGGGGGAACCCUGAUCCAGCAAUGCCGCGUGUGUGAAGAAGGCCUGAGGGUUGUAAAGCACUUUCAGUGGGGAGGAGGGUUGAUUGGUUAAGAGCUGAUUGAUUGGACGUUACCCACAGAAGAAGCACCGGCUAACUCCGUGCCAGCAGCCGCCGUAA